AUUGAACGCUGGCGGCAGGCCUAACACAUGCAAGUCGAGCGAGCGGCGGACGGGUGAGUAAUGUAUGGGGACUGCCCGAUAGAGGGGGAUAACUACUGGAAACGGUGGCUAAUACCGCAUACUAUCGGAUAACCCAUAUGGGAGUAGCUAGUAGGUGGGGUAAAGGCUCACCGAGGCGACGAUCUCUAGCUGGUCUGAGAGGAUGAUCAGCCACACGGGGACGUAGACACGGCCCAGACGCCGGCGGAGGCAGCAGUGGGGAAUAGUGCGCAAUGGGCGCAAGCCUGCUGCAGCCAUGGCGCGUGUAUGAAGAAGGCCUUAGGGGUGUAAAGUACGUUAAGCGGGGAGGCGUUACCCGCAGAAGAAGCACCGGCUAACUCCGUGCCAGCAGCCGCGGUAAUAC
rnacentral:rRNA from 1 species